rnacentral:rRNA from 1 species
GAUGAACGCUAGCUACAGGCUUAACACAUGCAAGUCGAGGGGAAACGAUAGAGAAAGCUUGCUUUUUCUAGGCGUCGACCGGCGCACGGGUGAGUAACGCGUAUCCAACCUGCCCACCACUUGGGGAUAACCUUGCGAAAGUAAGACUAAUACCCAAUGAUAUCUCUAGAAGACAUCUGAAGGAGAUUAAAGAUUCAUCGGUGAUGGAUGGGGAUGCGUCUGAUUAGCUUGUUGGCGGGGUAACGGCCCACCAAGGCGACGAUCAGUAGGGGUUCUGAGAGGAAGGUCCCCCACAUUGGAACUGAGACACGGUCCAAACUCCUACGGGAGGCAGCAGUGRGGAAUAUUGGUCAAUGGACGAGAGUCUGAACCAGCCAAGUAGCGUGCAGGAUGACGGCCCUAUGGGUUGUAAACUGCUUUUAUAAGGGAAUAAAGUGAGUCUCGUGAGACUUUUUGCAUGUACCUUAUGAAUAAGGACCGGCUAAUUCCGUGCCAGCAGCCGCGGUAAUACGGAAGGUCCGGGCGUUAUCCGGAUUUAUUGGGUUUAAAGGGAGCGUAGGCCGGAGAUUAAGCGUGUUGUGAAAUGUAGACGCUCAACGUCUGCACUGCAGCGCGAACUGGUUUCCCUUGAGUACGCACAAAGUGGGCGGAAUUCGUGGUGUAGCGGUGAAAUGCUUAGAUAUCACGAAGAACUCCGAUUGCGAAGGCAGCUCACUGGAGCGCAACUGACGCUGAAGCUCGAAAGUGCGGGUAUCGAACAGGAUUAGAUACCCUGGUAGUCCGCACGGUAAACGAUGGAUGCCCGCUGUUGGUCUGAAUAGGUCAGCGGCCAAGCGAAAGCAUUAAGCUCCCACCUGGGGAAACGCCGGCAACGGUGAAACUCAAAGGAAUUGA